AGAGUUUGAUCCUGGCUCAGAAUGAACGUGGCGGCGUGGAUUAGGCAUGCAAGUCGAACGGGCUGGUUUUCGGAUCAGGUCAGUGGCGCAAGGGUGGGUAAGGCGACGGCAACCAACCCCAUGGUUGGGCAUGGCCGCGGGAAACUGCGGGUAAUUCCCAGCGAAGUUCAGUUCGGGCAUCCGAGUUGAACCAAAGUUCCGACGCCGUGGGACGGGCCGUCGUGGUAUUAGGUAGUUGGCGGGGUAACGGCCCACCAAGCCUAUGAUGCCUACCGGGCGUGCGAGCGUGGCCCGGCACACUGGGACUGAGACACUGCCCAGACUCCUACGGGAGGCUGCAGUCGAGAAUCUUCGGCAAUGGGCGCAAGCCUGACCGAGCGACGCCGCGUGGAGGAUGA
rnacentral:rRNA from 1 species